AUGUGCACCUGUAUGUCUCUCUCUGAUUUAUCUCUCUCUUCUUUCCCACUCCCUGUCUUUCUCACUCUCCUUGUCUGUGUGUGUGCAUGUGUGUGUGUGAGAGAGAGAGAGAGAGAGAGAGAGAGAGAGAGAGAGAGAGAGAGAGAGAAGGAGAGAGAGGGGUGGGGGAGAGAGAGCAGGGGGAGAGAGAGAGAAAGCGGGAAAGGAGAGAGACAUCAGGGAGACAUACUGGUGCACACAAACAAGACACCUUCCACCCACACAGACACACAAAAGUGGCAGAGUAUAACUCACCCCCAGCCAGCCCCUGAAGUUGCAGGAUUCUGUUGCCCACCACUAGGACCCUCGGGUGAGAGAGCAGCCUGCGGGCACACAGGUGUCCUGAAGAUGACCAGGGCAUGACAUUUGGGGAGAGUCAUCUGUACACCAUUUGCACAGGUCUGAGACUGGGAUUGUUCACUGCUUCCCCUGCCCUCCCUCCACUUGAGGUUUCUUCAUCCUGGCUGACCCUCAGCAAAUCCUGGCCUCUGGAGGCUAUCCUGUGGAUGUCCUGGUGAGGAAGGGUCUGAGCCCUGAUACACUGCCACAGGGGGCUCCUCUUUUGUGAUGUCUCGAGAACCCAUCACUGGGGCCACAGUGAAUGUAACUAUGACCUCAGGAGCACUUGGCUCUGGGAAGUCAGGCUGUGGCCCCUUUAAGAAAUGGUGUGGCAGAGGUGGUGGUGGUGAAAUUGGCAGUGAAAGCAGCGGGUGUGAGGUGGCCUAGGAAAAGGGCAUGCACGAGAUCAAGCCAGCUUCAAACCAAUGGGGCUCAUGUCCUCAGGUUUUCCAUAUGCGAGCUGUCUUCUGCUUCAGCUCCAGGCAGAAGAGAUUCAGGGUGCCUUAUGGGCUUUCCAGACUCUGACUCAGAUUCCAUUUUGGAUCCCAUCAGUGUAAGGGGGAAUGGGAUUACAAUUGAGAGAGGUAGGAGGGACCUUGCUGGGGCAUAGAGAGAUCCCAUGGGCCCCAAGGCAUGGUGUCAUCACCCCACCACAUGGUAGGUACCCCAGAUUCAACCUCCCCUGCACCCAGCAAAAACAAAUCCCUUUGGCUCAUUUCCUGGCAUUCGUGGCAGACAAAAGAUUCAGUGCUUGUAUUCACUUUCCCCAAGAGCAGAUGAGCCGAAUGGCCCUCAAGAAUGAAAGAGAAAGGGCAGGUGAGCUUCAGUAACUCAAUGUGGAGAGGGCAAAGGCCAGCCAGGAAGCCAUCCAGUAUGACAUGGAGACCAAGAGAGCAUCCCUGUCCCAUUGGGGAUGGAAGCACAGAAUGCUAUCAUUAUUGCACCUGCCCAAUCAUCCAGAAACAGUCUUGGAGGGGGAAACAGACAUGAAAGGCAUUCCCACACGAUGUUUACCCCUGCUGGA
rnacentral:lncRNA from 13 species